CCCAAAUCCAUCAAAGAUCUUCACAGCAACUCUUCUUCUUCUUCCUCCACUACGCCACGACCCAAGUCCUUCUCAGUUCUAACAAUGGAGAAAGUGGGUUCGAAAGUUAAAAUUUCCUGAUUUAUUAUUAGCUCCAGGGUUCAUACAGCAGAGAUGCUUAAUCUGUUGUCGAUGUUACUGAUACCAUGAGCCUUCCAAAAAAGCUCGCGCACUCGACGACUCCGAGGGGAGCAUUAGUGAAAAUGUACUUUUAAGGGGAUCUGGACUCUUACUUGGGACAGACCAAAUGGAAGUUUUACACUUUUUUAGGCCCCAAUUUAGGUGGACAAUUUCUCAAAUAUCAUUAUGAAGAUGGGAAUUGUACUUAUCUUUGGCAGGCUAGUUGGCAUCUUGGUCCUCUGUUGCUUAAAUAUGUACCUCGGAUCAGCAAUGAUAGUCAGUACUGUGAAUGGAAAGGUCUCAUCAGCUCACAAUGGAGGAAACUAAAGUUGGCAGCUAGCAGGGUUUGUGGCUUUGGUUCAUAUUCAGGGCAAGUGUUUUGAGGCAAACCUUGAUCAAAAUGUAGCAGAAAAUGUCAAUUGAGAACUACAAAAUCAGGAAAAUUUGAAUGUGGGGGACAUCAUGGAAUGCUAUUAGAUUUAUUCCACCCAAAGUUUUAGCUGUUCUAGCUUACCAACUAUUCUAACUAAUAGACUUUGUUCCAUUUCUUCAAUACGAAAGGCAUAAUGUGCUAAAGUUCUUGCCCCACUGUUGGCCCUUUUUGAGAUUAAUUGCCAUUGCCAUUGCCAUUGCAAAUUCGUGAACAGCAUGGCACAUCCUCUGCCCUCUUCCAACGAGUUUCCAAAAGAUGAAAGACAUGGUGAUCUUGAGAGCAUAUGGCAUUGGCGUGACUCUGAAUAUGACCUUCGGCAAUUAUCACUCUUAAUCCCAUCGUAGCAGUCCAUCUCAACCCCAUAACCAAUGCCGCGGCAAGAGCUUCAGUCUCAGAGUUUGUUGCUCUUUUCUUGGUACUCGAAGUCUUCUCUGAUGCAAAUUUUCCAUGGUUGGUAAUGAGUAAGUACAAGCUCAACAUAACAAAUGUUUGCACUCAUUGGGAAUGUUCAGUUUCCAUAGGACUCUUCACCCAAAUAACUCGGUGCUCAGAAGAAGAUAAAUUUUCCACAAGCACAACCAAUAUAUUUAUUUACCCUAUCUCUUGUAUCAAAGAGUUGUUGUAAAAGUGAGACCAUUCCACCAACGAGUAUCAUGGUCCAAAUAAAUCUCGAACCACCACAAUUUGUUCAGCACUAUGACGUGUUGUUUCUUGAACAUUUGUAUUGUAUAGUUUUGUAUUUAUGGUGCACACGUGAUAUGCUAAAAGGUUUAUUCAAUGUCAAUACUAUUGAAUUGUAGUUAAA